CAGAAGAUAGUUUAACAUAGAAUUCUGGCUUUGGGAGCCAGGGGUGGGAGUUAAAAUCUCCUUUUUCUGA
rnacentral:tRNA from 1 species